CGGUACGGACCACACAGUACGUUUUGCCAAAUGGCAGGACAAAACUAGGGGUCGGAUCUCAGUCACCCCCAUUCAUUUCAAAACCCCGGGGAUCUCUCCCUCCACCAUAGCCGUUUAACAUAAUGCUCUUCCUUCCGUUUACCCUUUUCGAUUUUUUGUUAACAAAAAACGAAAGCGCAUGAUCACACUGCUUCGCUCUAAACACUACAAUUUCCAAUUCCAAAUCAGUGUUAAACCAACACUUACAAAUACGGUUCUUUACUUCAAAGCUGUAUCCAAUAGGGUGACGAAACCACCGGAAAAUCUCUCCACUGUGAGAUUAUAAAGAAGGGAAAUUUCUUAGACUUGCUUGCGAACAGCGUUCUUUAAUUUUUGUAUGUAAAAUACGACUCAUAGGUUGAUGCAGCUAUGGUGUUCGAUGAAAUGCCUGAUGAUAUACGGUGUCGUUUGUUACUUUGAUUCAAGGUUAUAAUCAGCGUUUUAGAUCUUACGAUGCUAUCUGGUUGUUUUCUAGGUUUCAUGGAGAAGGUCAUGAGCUUAACCCUUUUGUUUUUAGUACUGUUUUGAAGUUGCUUGUUAUUGCUGAGUGUACUGAAUCGGGGUUUAGUGCCAAUGCUUGUGUUUGUAAGCUUGCGCCUUUGGGGUUACUGCUUUGAUUGAUGGUAACUUGUUAUGCGGAGAAUGAGUGCUUUGAAGAGUCUUUGAAGCAUUUUUUUUUUCUGCAGAUGAGAGUUGUUGGGUUUAAACCAAGUAAUUUUAUUUUUGCGAGUAUGUUGAAGGCUUGUGUUGGGUUGGAGGUGUUUGAUGUUGGAAAGGCUGUACAUGGACAUGCUUUUAAAACAUCUUAUGUGGAAGAACUUUUUUUCGGUGUUGAAUUGAUGGACUUGUAUAUUAAUUCUGGAGAUGUUGAUGAUGCUUUACGUGUGUUUGAACAGAUGCCUAAAGGUGAUUCCAUGGAGUUUUAUGAUCGCCCAGUAUCCUCUAAGCCAGCAUAGUGAAGAGACCAUUGCGUUGUUCUGCAAGAUGAGGCAAGGUUUGGUGCUUCCUAAUCAGAUUACGCUUGCUAGUUUGCUGCAAGCAUUUGCGAGCUUGGUGGAUUUGCAAUUCGGGAAGCAAAUCCAUUACCAUAUAGUUAAAUGUUGGUUUAGAUACAAAUGUAUUUGUAUCCAAAUGCUCUAAUGGACAUGCAUGCAAAAUGUGGAAGAAUGGAGAACUCAAUGCAACUGUUUCUGGAAUCUCGAAAUUGUACUGAUAUGAGUUGGAAUAGGGUGAUUGAUGGCUAUGUGCAGGCUGGCAAUGGUAAGAGAUAUGCUUGAAUGCCAAGUUCAGGGAUCGGAAGUGACAUACUCUAUUGUGCUCCAUGCAUGUUCUGGUAUUGCUGCCAUGGAACCAGACAGACAGUCAUUCAUUGCUAGUGAAAACUAUUUAUGACAAGAACACUGUGGUUGGAAAUGCUUUGAUAGAUAUGCAUGCCAAGUGUGGAAGCAUUAGAGAUGCACGUUUAGUGUUUAACAUGCUAAGGGAAUGUGAUCAAGUGUCAUGGAGUGCUAUGAUUGCAGGAUAUUCUGUGCACGGGCUAUGUAGGGAAGCUCUCAAAGCUUUUGAAUUAAUGCAGGAAACAGAGUGUAAACCAGACAAGGUAACUUUUGUUGGUAUCCGGUCAGCAUGUAGCAAUGCAGGACUUUUCGAUAGAGGACAAGCUUAUUUUAAAUCUAUCAUAAAAGAUUAUGGCAUUGAACCAUGCGCAGAGCACUACAUGUAUGGUUUGGAUUUUUGGGAGAUUGGGUCAUCUUGAUAAGACUGUUAAGUUGGUCAAGGAAAUCCCAUUUGAGCCUAGUGUUAUGGUGUGGCGGUCCUUACUCAGCGCUUGUGUCGUUCAUAUGAUGUUGAACUUGGAAGAAUCUCUGCCCAGUGUGUUCUUGAGAUAGAACCAGAAGAUAAGGCAACAUAUGCAUCAUUGUCAAACAAAUAUGCUAUUGCAAGGAAGUGGGGAAAUGUGGCUUCCAUUAGAAGAAGCAUGAAAAGGAAAGGAGUCACGAAAGAACCGGGCCUAAGUUGGAUUGUGAACCACAGUGGGGUUUCAUUAUUUCUCUUUAGGAGACAUUUCACAUCCUCACACAAAAUGAUUAAGGGGAUGCUGAAGUGGUUGAACAUGAAAGCCUGGAAUGAAGGUCAUGUUCCUGAUUAUCUGAUGUGGACGAUGUUGAUAAGGAACAGUGGUUGUGGGUCCACUGUGAAAGACUAGCUUUAGCAUAUGGUCUAAUUAGAAUUCCAUCCAUAUGCCAUGUUCACAUUAUAAAGAAUCUCCGUCUAUGUGCUGGCAGUCAUACUGCAAUAAAAUAAAUGUCAAAGAUUGUGCGCUGAGAUAUCAUUAUCAGAGAUAGGAACCAUUUCCAUCAUUUUCAGGAGGGGAUUUACUCUUGUGUCGGCUAUUGGUGAUUGACUUGCAAAUAUAGAUUUUGAUUUUUUUUGGAGCUAGAAUUUACAUCGCUUUGAUAAAGUUCCUUAUCAUGUUGGUUCGCAUAUUAGGAGGAGGACUAAACUUUCUGCUUUAUAGCCAUGAAAGCAAAUCCAUAAUAAUUUAUGUCCGUUCACUGUUAAACUCUGACCACUAAAAUGCAGUUGUGCAUCAGCCAUAUGUCAGCUCAGAUGCAAAAGCUUCGGUAUUCACAAAGGAUGGAUUCUUGCCCCUAGAAAAUGAAGUGUGCGAGGUUUGGAGGUAUGGCUCUAUAAAGACCUGUUAAUAUAUUAAUUGAUCUUCUUGAAGUGGUGUUUUUUAAUUUGGUUUAGGAUAGUUAGGAACUUCUGAACUCUGUAUUGAGUGAUUGAUUUGAUGCAUCCCCAAUUAUUCACAACUGCUGGACAAAUUUAUUGCCUUUGAGAAGGACGUGGCUUUAUAACAGAUGCACGUGUUUAAGAAAAGUGCUUGACGGUUCCUCUUGGAUUUUCUUGCUGAUCAUCCUAUUUUGACUAGUCUAGCUGAUGAAAGUGCCUCUCAACUGUCUUUGCUGAGGGACUGUAUACUUACACAAACACUUUAAACUUGCACAAGGGUUUCAUUAGGGUACUGUACCACUUUCCUUGUUGAGUUGAUUUUGGGCCAUAAAAACGAGAAGAAAAAGAAGUAUUAUCACUAAGCAAGUUUCGUGGAUGGAGAUAUUUAAUCAUUCUUGUGGUUGGGAUUUAUAUGUAUACAAUAAUAAGUUUUUAUUGAAGCUUUUGGACUCAGAUUGCCUCUCAUUUUUGUUCAAACAUAAUAAAGUUGGUUUCAAAGCACAGCCUUUGAUGGUCUUUUCCAAAGCAGCUAUGACAAUUUGCAACUAGAGUUUUUUCUUCCAAACUUUUGUUACAUAAAUAUGUUACCAUGGAUCAUCCAUGUUUUAUGUUGGUUGAAUCAUCUACUUUUGAUUAUUGAAGUUGUCCUGGAGAGACUUGGUUGAAUUAAGUCAUUGUUUAUUUUAUGCAAUAAACAAAAAUGAAGAAAUUCAUUCCCCAGCACUGGUAUGCGUGUGGGCAUAUUUAUGAAUUAAACAGUUAUGGCCCAUAUGAGUAUUGAAGGGAAAAAAGAAGAAUAAGAAUGUGAAUAACUCUCUUACGCUAUGGAACUUUACUGAUUAUGGUUUUUACUAUUUCUUAGAUAUUCUCUAUUUCUUGCAGACUUCUUGCCUUUUUUUUUCCACUUUUCUAAAGAGGUUAUCGCUACCAAGUUGGAAGAAAUAGAAAGGGAUGAGAAAGUCAGAUUUAAAUGGUUUAAAGGGGAGACGUGCGUGCUGUUAAAAUCAAGAAAAGUAGAGAAGAUGUAAGUCUGUAGAUUUUUUUUUUUUUUUG